AACGAACGCUGGCGGCACGCCUAACACAUGCAAGUCGAGCGCGCCCUUCGGGGUGAGCGGCGGACGGGUUAGUAACGCGUGGGAACGUACCCUUCUCUACGGAAUAGCCAUUGGAAACGAUGAGUAAUACCGUAUACGCCCUUUGGGGGAAAGAUUUAUCGGAGAAGGAUCGGCCCGCGUUAGAUUAGAUAGUUGGUGGGGUAAUGGCCUACCAAGUCUACGAUCUAUAGCUGGUUUGAGAGGAUGAUCAGCAACACUGGGACUGAGACACGGCCCAGACUCC
rnacentral:rRNA from 2 species